rnacentral:rRNA from 1 species
UACGUAGGGUGCGAGCGUUAAUCGGAAUUACUGGGCGUAAAGCGUGCGCAGGCGGUUUUUGUAAGACAGAUGUGAAAUCCCCGGGCUAACCUGGGAACUGCAUUUGUGACUGCAAGACUAGAGUGUGUCAGAGGGGGGUGGAAUUCCACGUGUAGCAGUGAAAUGCGUAGAGAUGUGGAGGAACACCGAUGGCGAAGGCAGCCCCCUGGGAUAACACUGACGCUCAGGCACGAAAGCGUGGGGAGCAAACAGG